UGGCUAAUGAUGCUAUAAGUAAGUGCUGUCAUUUGUUUCAUGAGUAAUGUUCAUUUUGCUUGGAGGGAGGUGGGAUCUUAAAGUAGUUUUAAUUCACACUUUCCUCUAACACCCUCUCAUGCUCAUUUUCUGUAGAGAGCGGCGCGGCGAAACAAAGAUGGCGCCGACAUCCAGCCUUGUCUGGAUAUAAACGACUUACUGCGCAUGUGCAGACUUGUCCCCUUGCUAGGGCUCCCUCUAGUGGUGAACAGCGGUACUGCACAUGUGCGGUUUAUGCACCAGGUGUCAGUUGACUGUUAAUAUGCUAAUGAGGUGAUUCAUUUUCCGCCAAUCCCUGGAGGACAAGUAGUGGGGUGAUCCAUGCCCCACCAAUCCCUGAGAGAUAAUUAGCAUACUGUUGUCUAUAUAAGUCGAGCGACUUUGCUGCUCGAGGUCCCUGUUCAAGAGAGCUGUAACACUAAGAGAGCUGUAACACUAAGAAGAGCUGUAACACAGUAAAGGCUUGUUUGCAGAAGAAUCCUGUUGCCGCGCGUCUUUCUUACUGGCGGGACAUUAGGCACGUGACAAGUGGUGCUGAAACCCGGGAACCAACAUCGCCGGUGCCGAGGGGACCCUUCAGUGUGCUGAAGAGGAUUCAGAACUGCGAGAAGAUCCCGUGAUUUCGAGAUCUAGGGGAGCGAUUUGUGUUUUUCCGCAGAAUCAAGAAAAUCCAAUUUGGGUACCUGAGCGUUUGACUCGAAAAUUGCCUUCUGCUCUUCCUGAAGAUGAGACUACGAACCCUACUAUUACUACUGGGAAUGAGCAAAGAAAUCUCGAAUUAUCUGAAAGGAAACUGGUCCAUGAAAGCAGAGCAACUAUCAAGACAAUUGCAGAUGCAGAUUGCUGUCCUCAACAGCACUAGGCUGGACCCCAUCACAGUUGAAGACUUUACCUCAUGGAUUACCAAUGCUUUCUCCCUUGUUAAGGAGUGGGCGGUCAUGUUUGUCCUGGGGAGCUAUUGUCCUCCUGGGAUGCGGAGUAGGUCUCUGGCUUAUUGACUGUUUAAAAAGAGAACAUGCCAAACACAAAGCGAUUGUUUACCAGGCUAUGACCGCCAUUGACAAUGGUGCUUCUCCCAAUAUAUGGCUGGCCUCUUUGAAAGAUCAAGAGUUCACCCUAGAUCAUUUUCGUCACAGUCAUGUGGAGUAAUUGUAUCCAGGGAUGGGCAACUUUCCUCGAACUCAGACCAACCUAAGACACGGGGCCCGGUGGCGAUAGGGUAACUCUAUGACGGGUAAGGCCGAGUUUGGAUGAGAACGACCUAAGACAGGAGCAAUGACAAGAUUGACGUGACACCCAGAUCUAGACCAGUCAUUUUAUUAAACAAAAAAGGGGGAGAUGUAGAGAGCGGCGCGGCGAAACAAAGAUGGCGCCGACAUCCAGCCUUGUCUGGAUAUAAACGAUUUACUGUGCAUGUGCAGGCUUGUCCCCUUGCUAGGGCUCCCUCUAGUGGUGAACAGCGGUACUGCACAUGUGCGGUUUAUGCACCAGGUGUCAGUUGACUGUUAAUAUGCUAAUGAGGUGAUUCAUUUUCCGCCAAUCCCUGGAGGACAAGUAGUGGGGUGAUCCAUGCCCCACCAAUCCCUGAGAGAUAAUUAGCAUACUGUUGUCUAUAUAAGUCGAGCGACUUUGCUGCUCGAGGUCCCUGUUCAAGAGAGCUGUAACACUAAGAGAGCUGUAACACUAAGAAGAGCUGUAACACAGUAAAGGCUUGUUUGCAGAAG